rnacentral:lncRNA from 1 species
UGUGUUUUGUGUCGAUCUGAUGAGUCAAACCUACCUCAACUUUGUUUUAUUUUGUGUUGUUAACCGAUGUCCCCGGUUACGGUAGGAAUAAAUUCUCACAAACUUGUUGUGUGUCGCAGUCUUUUAUACUUGUUGUACGUUUAAAUUGAUUUAUACUUAAAUAUGGCUUUGUUUUCUUGUUUGCCGGGACCCUUUAUUGCUAUUAUACUGUAUGGACUAUGUUUAAUGGUGAAGGCUGUACGGUGGUAUAUAGCUGUUUACGACCCACGCUAUUAAGUUUUAGGCAAAAUAGUUCAUGUCAGAUCUUCUAGUUUAUAUAUUUUCUGAUAGUAAAAGUAGAAUUCAGCCAAUGGUAAUAUAAAAAGUAUCAACCAUAUAUCUGAUUACAAAC